rnacentral:rRNA from 1 species
UGCAUGUCUAAGUACAUGCCGAAUCAAGGCGAAACCGCGAAUGGCUCAUUACAUCGGCCGUGGUUCCUUAGAUCGUACUUUAUUACUUGGAUAACUGUGGUAAUUCUAGAGCUAAUACAUGCAGCAGAGCUCCGACCCUCUAGGGAACGAGCGCUUUUAUUAGACCAAGACCAAUCGGGCCUCGUGUCCGUUCUUUGUGGCGACUCUGUAUAACUUUGGGCUGAUCGCACGGGCCUGUCCCGGCGACGCAUCUUUCAAGUGUCCGCCUUAUCAACUGUCGAUGGUAGGUUAUGCGCCUACCAUGGUUGUAACGGGUAACGGGGAAUCAGGGUUCGAUUCCGGAGAGGGAGCCUGAGAAACGGCUACCACAUCCAAGGAAGGCAGCAGGCGCGUAAAUUACCCACUCCCGGCACGGGGAGGUAGUGACGAAAAAUAACAAUACGGGACUCUUAUGAGACCCCGUAAUUGGAAUGAGUACACUCUAAAUCCUUUAACGAGGAUCUAUUAGAGGGCAAGUCUGGUGCCAGCAGCUGCGGUAAUACCAGUUCUAAUAGCAUAUAUUAAAGUUGUUGCGGUUAAAAAGCUCGUAGUUGGAUCUCAGUUCCAGACAGGCGGUCCGCCUAACGGCGGUUACUGCCUGGCCUGAACAACCAGUCGGUUUCCCUAGAUGAUCUUCACCGGUUGUCUUGGGUGACCGACACGUUUACUUUGAAAAAAUUAGAGUGCUCAAAGCAGGCGUAUUGCUUGAAUAAUGGUGCAUGGAAUAAUAGAAUAGGACCUCGGUUCUAUUUUGUUGGUUUUCGGAACACGAGGUAAUGAUUAAGAGGGACAGACGGGGGCAUUCGUAUUGCGACGCUAGAGGUGAAAUUCUUGGACCGUCGCAAGACGAACUACUGCGAAAGCAUUUGCCAAGAAUGUUUU